rnacentral:rRNA from 1 species
GACGAACGCUGGCGGCGUGCCUAAUACAUGCAAGUCGAGCGAGCGGAACCAACAGAUUUACUUCGGUAAUGACGUUGGGAAAGCGAGCGGCGGAUGGGUGAGUAACACGUGGGGAACCUGCCCCUAAGUCUGGGAUACCAUUUGGAAACAGGUGCUAAUACCGGAUAAGAAAGCAGAUCGCAUGAUCAGCUUUUAAAAGGCGGCGUAAGCUGUCGCUAAGGGAUGGCCCCGCGGUGCAUUAGCUAGUUGGUAAGGUAACGGCUUACCAAGGCAACGAUGCAUAGCCGAGUUGAGAGACUGAUCGGCCACAUUGGGACUGAGACACGGCCCAAACUCCUACGGGAGGCAGCAGUAGGGAAUCUUCCACAAAGGACGCAAGUCUGAUGGAGCAACGCCGCGUGAGUGAAGAAGGUUUUCGGAUCGUAAAGCUCUGUUGUUGGUGAAGAAGGAUAGAGGUAGUAACUGGCCUUUAUUUGACGGUAAUCAACCAGAAAGUCACGGCUAACUACGUG